rnacentral:rRNA from 1 species
GAGUUUGAUCGUGGCUCAGGAUGAACGCUGGCGGCGUGCCUAAUACAUGCAAGUCGAACGAACAGAUAAGGAGCUUGCUCCUUUGACGUUAGCGGCGGACGGGUGAGUAACACGUGGGUAACCUACCUAUAAGACUGGAAUAACUCCGGGAAACCGGGGCUAAUGCCGGAUAACAUGUUGAACCGCAUGGUUCUACAGUGAAAGACGGUCUUGCUGUCACUUAUAGAUGGACCCGCGCCGUAUUAGCUAGUUGGUGGGGUAACGGCCUACCAAGGCGACGAUACGUAGCCGACCUGAGAGGGUGAUCGGCCACACUGGAACUGAGACACGGUCCAGACUCCUACGGGAGGCAGCAGUAGGGAAUCUUCCGCAAUGGGCGAAAGCCUGACGGAGCAACGCCGCGUGAGUGAUGAAGGUCUUCGGAUCGUAAAGCUCUGUUGUUAGGGAAGAACAAAUGUGUAAGUAACUGUGCAUAUCUUGACGGUACUAACCAGAAAGCACGGCUAACUACGUGCCAGCAGCCGCCG